GUGGGGAAUAUUGGACAAUGGGCGAAAGCCUGAUCCAGCCAUGCCGCGUGUGUGAAGAAGGUCUUCGGAUUGUAAAGCACUUUAAGUUGGGAGGAAGGGCAGUAAGUUAAUACCUUGCUGUUUUGACGUUACCGACAGAAUAAGCACCGGCUAACUUCGUGCCAGCAGCCGCGGUAAUACGAAGGGUGCAAGCGUUAAUCGGAAUUACUGGCCGUAAAGCGCGCGUAGGUGGUUUUGUAAGUUGGAGGUGAAAUCCCCGGGCUCAACCUGGGAACUGCCUCCAAAACUGGAUGACUGGAGGACGGUAGAGGGUAGUGGAAUUUCCUGUGUAGCGGUGAAAUGCGUAGAUAUAGGAAGGAACACCAGUGGCGAAGGCGACUACCUGGACUGAUACUGACACUGAGGUGCGAAAGCGUGGGGAGCAAACAGGAUUAGAUACCCCAGUAGUCC
rnacentral:rRNA from 1 species